AACAAUAUCAUACUUCAUUUUUUUUUUUCUUUUCGAUGUUUAAUACUUUUAUUAAAAUCUGAUUCAUCUAAAUUGGCGCAACGCAUACACAAUCGAUCGCUACCAAUAAAAUCAUACUCCAUUCUCUUUUUCUUUUGAAUCUAAAUUCUCGCCACACAUGCACAUGUGGUCCUACCAAUUAAAUCGUACUCUCAACUAUAAAUUCUGUUAGCACUUUCCACUUUCACUGCAACACUCAAAGUGGAGUAGCUCCAAAACGUCACCGUUUACUCGUCGUCGUCGUCAUGGUACUGAAAUCGUUUGUUGAAGUUGAACCGGAGUCUCCUUUCCCUCUGGAGAACUUACCGUACGGUGUAUUUAAGACCGAUGAACCCGGUUCACUACCUCGACCGGGCGUCGCUAUCGGAAACUACGUUUUGGACUUAUCGGCGAUUGCUUCAGCCGGUUUAUUUAACGGUCCUUUACUCAGUAACUCCGAUUGUUUCAACCAGCCUAACUUGAACAAGUUUGUUGGAUUGGGCCGACCUGCAUGGAAGGAAGCUAGAGCGACAUUGCAAAAGCUGUUAUCAGCCACAGAACCAACUCUGCGUGACAAUGCUGAUUUAAGACCGUUAGCUCUUUUGCCUAUGGACAAGGUGCAAAUGCUUCUACCUGUUGCGAUUGGAGACUACACAGACUUCUUUUCGUCAAUGCAUCAUGCAAAGAAUUGUGGGACUAUUUUUCGUGGCCCUGAAAAUCCUGUCAACCGUAAUUGGUUCCAUCUUCCUAUUGCUUACCAUGGGCGAGCAUCAUCCAUUGUCAUUUCUGGAACAGAUAUCAUUAGACCCAGAGGACAAGGUCCUCCAACUGGUAAUGCUACGCCAUAUUUUGGACCUUCGAGAAAAUUGGAUUUUGAGUUAGAAAUGGCCGCUGUAGUUGGACCUGGUAAUGAGCUAGGAACGAUGGUCGAUGUCAAUGAGGCUGCAAAUCAUAUAUUUGGACUUGUCUUGAUGAAUGAUUGGAGUGCAAGAGAUAUCCAGGCAUGGGAGUACGUGCCUCUUGGUCCUUUUCUUGGAAAGAGCUUUGGCACAACCAUAUCUCCUUGGAUUGUUACUUUAGAUGCCUUAGAACCCUUUGCUUGUGAGGCCCCAAAGCAGAACCCUUCUCCAUCGUCAUAUCUUGUGGAGAAGACAUCAAGAAACUAUGACAUUUCCUUGGAGGUUCUCAUUAAACCUUCUGGACAAGCUGAUUCAUGUGUUGUGACAAGAAGCAACUUUAACCACUUAUAUUGGACAAUUACUCAACAGCUAGCUCACCAUACUAUCAAUGGGUGCAACCUAAGGCCUGGGGACCUGUUUGGAACUGGAACUAUCAGUGGACCAGUAAGAUUUACUAGUCAGCUGAACCAGAAUCGUAUGGAUGCUUGCUUGAAUUAACAUGGAAUGGACAAAAGCCUUUGUCAUUAGGUGGAACUACCCGUACAUUCUUAGAAGACGGAGAUGAAGUAACUUUCUAUGGUUAUUGCCAGGGCAAUGGAUACAAAGUUGGUUUCGGAAGCUGCUCCGGAAAGAUUGUCCCAUCUCCACUGUGAAUGUAAAUGACUACAUUCUCCAGCUCAUGACAGUAAUUCCAGGCUGCUUUAGUUUCUGAUCAAAAUUAGUAGUAGAAUCCCAGUUUAUGUAUAUUCAACAUUAUUGAACUGCAAACAAGUCCCAGUUUAUGUUGAAAUAUCGACAUUUAACUAAGUGAGGACUAGGUAGCUAUUAUAACGUUCAACAAAUCAUACUUCAUGUUUUAAUAUCGAACUUUAAGUUUUAUUUUAUGAGUGGAAAAUUUUUAUUGUGUAGUAGCAUACAAUAACAACA